ACGUUCGUAACUUAAUCGGAUAAAGUGUCGAGCUACGGACUCGAAAAGUGUGGGUUCAAGUCCUGCCGAACGUGC
rnacentral:tRNA from 1 species